AGGAUGAACGCUGGCGGCGUGCUUAACACAUGCAAGUCGAACGGUGAAGUGAGGAGCUUGCUCCUUGCGGAUCAGUGGCGAACGGGUGAGUAACACGUGAGUAACCUGCCCUUGACUCUGGGAUAAGCGUUGGAAACGACGUCUAAUACCGGAUACGACCUCCGAAGGCAUCUUCUGGAGGUGGAAAGAAUUUCGGUCAAGGAUGGACUCGCGGCCUAUCAGCUAGUUGGUGGGUAAAGGCCUACCAAGGCGACGACGGGUA
rnacentral:rRNA from 1 species